UCCAGUAUAACAAUGUGGUAAAGAACUGCGUGUUAGCGCUUCACCAAAUACUUGCGGUUGACCACAGAUAGAAUUGAGAUGCAUAUAGAAUCGAGGCUCAUACACUUUCUUAUUAUAAAGCAUGGAAACUAAAAAUGUGGUUACAAAAUGCAGCGCAACUACAAUGCAACCUGAUCGCGUUGUUCCACCCAUGGGCUUCUUCUUGGCACCUUAUACCCAACAGGCGCUGGAACAACGUUUGGGGGGUGGAGACUAACAGCUAAGAGGUCACCCAUACGCUGCACACAAAGAAGAGAUCAUACUCCCCUAUAUCACUAUAACAAACCUUUAGAAGCAGCAGCAGCAUGGAAAACAUUAUAAUGCAGUACCGAGGAUUGUAAGCUGUGAACCAGCACUGGGAGAUGAGCAGCAGAGAAUGCGGGAAAUGUCAGCUUCAUUCAUUCACCGCCACUGGUUCAGACAUCUCCCGCUGCUGCCCUGCUCCAAAAAGAUGAGGAGCAGGAAGCGGGAGGGGAAAUAAGGACACUGGGGCCAAUGAAUUAUUAUAAAAAUGCAUGGGGGGCAUACAUUUGGGGGUCAAAUUAGUAGUUUAAAAACCCCACCGGGAGCCCUGAAUGGCUCCUCGGUGGCAGGCAAUUUAUGUGGGCGGGCAGGGGCCUAAAAAUGUAGCAGACAAUAAAAAUGUAGAAUGGGACCAUUUAAAUGUAAAAAUUAUAUUUUUUAUAAUUUAUUUAUUUUAUUAAUGUUUUUUGAUAUUGUGUUUA